GACGAACGCUGGCGGCGUGCCUAAUACAUGCAAGUUGAGCGCUGAAGGUUGGUACUUGUACCGACUGGAUGAGCAGCGAACGGGUGAGUAACGCGUGGGGAAUCUGCCUUUGAGCGGGGGACAACAUUUGGAAACGAAUGCUAAUACCGCAUAAAAACUUUAAACACAAGUUUUAAGUUUGAAAGAUGCAAUUGCAUCACUCAAAGAUGAUCCCGCGUUGUAUUAGCUAGUUGGUGAGGUAAAGGCUCACCAAGGCGAUGAUACAUAGCCGACCUGAGAGGGUGAUCGGCCACAUUGGGACUGAGACACGGCCCAAACCCCUACGGGAGGCAGCAGUAGGGAAUCUUCGGCAAAGGACGAAAGUCUGACCGAGCAACGCCGCGUGAGUGAAGAAGGGUUUCGGAUCGUAAAACUCUGUUGGUAGAGAAGAACGUUGGUGAGAGUGGAAAGCUCAUCAAGUGACGGUAACUACCCAGAAAGGGACGGCUAACUACGUG
rnacentral:rRNA from 1 species